rnacentral:rRNA from 1 species
GACGAACGCUGGCGGCGUGCUUAACACAUGCAAGUCGAACGGAAAGGCCCUGCUUUUGUGGGGUGCUCGAGUGGCGAACGGGUGAGUAACACGUGAGUAACCUGCCCUUGACUUUGGGAUAACUUCAGGAAACUGGGGCUAAUACCGGAUAGGAGCUCCUGCUGCAUGGUGGGGGUUGGAAAGUUUCGGCGGUUGGGGAUGGACUCGCGGCUUAUCAGCUUGUUGGUGGGGUAGUGGCUUACCAAGGCUUUGACGGGUAGCCGGCCUGAGAGGGUGACCGGCCACAUUGGGACUGAGAUACGGCCCAGACUCCUACGUGAGGCAGCAGUGGGGAAUAUUGCACAAUGGGCGGAAGCCUGAUGCAGCAACGCCGCGUGCGGGAUGACGGCCUUCGGGUUGUAACCCGCUUUCGCCUGUGACGAAGCGUGAGUGACGGUAAUGGGUAAAGAAGCACCGGCUAACUACGUG